GCAAACUUGGUCAUUUAGAGGAAGUAAAAGUCGUAACAAGGUUUCCGUAGGUGAACCUGCGGAAGGAUCAUUAAUAAAAUUGUUUUUGCUUGAAGGGCUGUAGCUGGCCAAUGUUUGGCAAGUGCACGCCUGGAUAAUCCACACAACUCACAAGUGCACAACUGUAGUGCUAAGCGCGCUACGUUUGUUUGUUCAAUAAAACGUGUUUGUUUGUAAAAAGACUUUUGGGGAUCAGACGAUGUCAUGACAACUUUCAGCAACGGAUCUCUUGGCUCUCGCAUCGAUGAAGAACGCAGC
rnacentral:misc_RNA from 1 species